rnacentral:rRNA from 1 species
UGGGGAAUUUUGGACAAUGGGGGAAACCCUGAUCCAGCCAUCCCGCGUGUGCGAUGAAGGCCUUCGGGUUGUAAAGCACUUUUGGCAGGAAAGAAACGUCAUGGGUUAAUACCCCGUGAAACUGACGGUACCUGCAGAAUAAGCACCGGCUAACUACGUGCCAGCAGCCGCGGUAAUACGUAGGGUGCAAGCGUUAAUCGGAAUUACUGGGCGUAAAGCGUGCGCAGGCGGUUCGGAAAGAAAGAUGUGAAAUCCCAGAGCUCAACUUUGGAACUGCAUUUUUAACUACCGGGCUAGAGUGUGUCAGAGGGAGGUGGAAUUCCGAGUGUAGCAGUGAAAUGCGUAGAUAUGCGGGGGAACACCGAUGGCGAAGGCAGCCGCCUGGGAUAACACUGACGCUCAUGCACGAAAGCGUGGGGAGCAAACAGG